rnacentral:rRNA from 1 species
AGGCAGCAGUGGGGAAUAUUGCACAAUGGGCGGAAGCCUGAUGCAGCAACGCCGCGUGCGGGAUGACGGCCUUCGGGUUGUAAACCGCUUUCGCCUGUGACGAAGCGUGAGUGACGGUAAUGGGUAAAGAAGCACCGGCUAACUACGUGCCAGCAGCCGCGGUGAUACGUAGGGUGCGAGCGUUGUCCGGAUUUAUUGGGCGUAAAGGGCUCGUAGGUGGUUGAUCGCGUCGGAAGUGUAAUCUUGGGGCUUAACCCUGAGCGUGCUUUCGAUACGGGUUGACUUGAGGAAGGUAGGGGAGAAUGGAAUUCCUGGUGGAGCGGUGGAAUGCGCAGAUAUCAGGAGGAACACCAGUGGCGAAGGCGGUUCUCUGGGCCUUUCCUGACGCUGAGGAGCGAAAGCGUGGGGAGCGAACAGGCUUAGAUACCCUGGUAGUCCACGCUGUAAACGGUGGGUACUAGGUGUGGGGUCCAUUCCACGGGUUCCGCGCCGUAGCUAACGCUUUAAGUACCCCGCCUGGGGAGUACGGCCGCAAGGCUAAAACUCAAAGGAAUUGACGGGGCCCCGCACAAGCGGCGGAGCAUGCGGAUUAAUUCGAUGCAACGCGUAGAACCUUACCUGGGUUUGACAUGGAUCGGGAGUGCUCAGAGAUGGGUGUGCCUCUUUUGGGGUCGGUUCACAGGUGGUGCAUGGCUGUCGUCAGCUCGUGUCGUGAGAUGUUGGGUUAAGUCCCGUAACGAGCGCAACCC